CGAGUGUGCUUGCAUGCUCCCUAAAGAAAAGCUUGAAAAACAAAAACACGAAGUGGAAAGCGGAAAUAUUUCCCUGGGACAGUAGAGGGCGAUGAGCAGGUAUCCAUCUCAAUGAACCAUGGAGUACCUGGAAGUACUGACACCCUUGUUGUCGGAGAGUCAAAGAAUGCAUUUGGCAUCAUGGCUGCAAGGAUUCUUAGUCGUCCAAUCAGUGUACCCCUGAAAUGGUCAUGUGUGGCCCCCCACAACUAUCUGUCCUCCACGGAUGAAGCUCAUGAGCCAAAUGCAAGAUACGUGUCUCUUCUGUAUGUUGUCAGCACUGGAUGUUCAAAUAGAAUGCAUUGAAAUUGACCUUUUUAUUGAGAUGAAGAAAUGCCAACAGAGCUUUUUCAGCACACAAAAAUAAACCAUUAUUCUUGCUUCUGGGCUCUGAAAGUAAACCACAAUACAAAAGUGUCUGCUGAGAACAGAUAAGCCAACAUGUUUCUAUGGCCUAGCUGCUACUCUCUAAAAUAUACUAUGCACAGUCAUCAAAAAGAAAGAGGACCAAGUGUUGA
ensembl:lncRNA